UACGUAGGGUGCGAGCGUUGUCCGGAAUUAUUGGGCGUAAAGAGCUCGUAGGCGGUCUGUCGCGUCUGCUGUGAAAUCCCGAGGCUCAACCUCGGGCUUGCAGUGGGUACGGGCAGGCUAGAGUGCGGUAGGGGAGAAUGGAACUCCUGGUGUAGCGGUGGAAUGCGCAGAUAUCAGGAAGAACACCGAUGGCGAAGGCAGUUCUCUGGGCCGUAACUGACGCUGAGGAGCGAAAGCAUGGGUAGCGAACAGG
rnacentral:rRNA from 1 species